rnacentral:rRNA from 1 species
UACGUAGGCAGCGAGCGUUGUUCGGAGUUACUGGGCGUAAAGAGUGCGUAGGCGGUUGGCUAAGUUUGGUGUGAAAUCUCCCGGCUCAACUGGGAGGGUGCGCCGAAAACUGGCUGGCUGGAGUGUGGGAGAGGCUAGCGGAAUUCCUGGUGUAGCGGUGAAAUGCGUAGAUAUUGGGAGGAACACCAGUGGCGAAGGCGGCUCACUGGACCGGUACUGACGCUGAUGCGCGAAAGCGUGGGGAGCAAACGGG